rnacentral:rRNA from 1 species
GACGGGGGGGGCAAGUGUUCUUCGGAAUGACUGGGCGUAAAGGGCAUGUAGGCGGUGAAUCGGGUUGAAAGUGAAAGUCGCCAAAAACUGGCGGAAUGCUCUCGAAACCAAUUCACUUGAGUGAGACAGAGGAGAGUGGAAUUUCGUGUGUAGGGGUGAAAUCCCGAGAUCUACGAAGGAACGCCAAAAGCGAAGGCAGCUCUCUGGGUCCCUACCGACGCUGGGGUGCGAAAGCAUGGGGAGCGAAUGGG